rnacentral:rRNA from 1 species
GCGUGCCUAACACAUGCAAGUCGAGCGAGAAAGUGGAGCAAUCCAUGAGUAAAGCGGCGCACGGGUGAGUAACACGUGACUAACCUACCCUUGAGUGGGGAAUAACCUGGGGAAACCCGGGCUAAUACCGCAUAACACCUACGGGUCAAAGGAGCAAUUCGCUUAAGGAGGGGGUCGCGGCAGAUUAGUUAGUUGGCGGGGUAAAGGCCCACCAAGACGAUGAUCUGUAUCCGGCCUGAGAGGGCGCACGGACACACUGGAACUGAAACACGGUCCAGACUCCUACGGGAGGCAGCAGUGGGGAAUUUUGCGCAAUGGGGGAAACCCUGACGCAGCAACGCCGCGUGGAGGAUGAAGUCCCUUGGGACGUAAACUCCUUUCGACCGGGACGAUAAUGACGGUACCGGAAGAAGAAGCCCCGGCUAACUUCGUGCCAGCAGCCGCGGGUAAUACGAGGGGGGCGAGCGUUGUUCGGAAUUAUUGGGCGUAAA